rnacentral:tRNA from 1 species
GCCGGUAUAGCUCAGUUGGUAGAGCAGCGCAUUCGUAAUGCGAAGGUCGCAGGUUCGACUCCUGUUUCCGGCACCC